rnacentral:rRNA from 1 species
GGCUACUACCCUCAACUAAGUUUCCUAUGAAAGACUAGGGGAUGCCAGUUGGAUAUGGCAGUCCGGUUUGCCUUUCAGGUUGCCGGUCAGCUGAAAUAUAUUCACGCUCUGGGGGCUGCUUUCCUUGAAAGGCUACUUUCAAGGGGAGGSSAGUUCCGAUUUGGUAGGUGACCUUUGCCGGUUACAUGCCUUCGUUGCUCGCUAAGCUUNCCAAUAGUGCUGUGCAGGACGCCUUUUGGCUU